GAGUGUAUAGCUCAGGGGCAGAGUGCAUGCUUAGCAUGCAUGAAGUCCUGGGUUCAAUCCUCAGUACCUCCA
rnacentral:tRNA from 1 species